UAAGAGGUUGCAGACAAUGGAUGAGGGA
rnacentral:piRNA from 1 species